GACGAACGCUGGCGGCGUGCUUAACACAUGCAAGUCGAACGGAAAGGCCCUGCUUUUGUGGGGUGCUCGAGUGGCGAACGGGUGAGUAACACGUGAGUAACCUGCCCUUGACUUUGGGAUAACUUCAGGAAACUGGGGCUAAUACCGGAUAGGAGCUCCUGCUGCAUGGUGGGGGUUGGAAAGUUUCGGCGGUUGGGGAUGGACUCGCGGCUUAUCAGCUUGUUGGUGGGGUAGUGGCUUACCAAGGCUUUGACGGGUAGCCGGCCUGAGAGGGUGACCGGCAACAUGGGGACUGGGAAAGGGCCCAGGCCCCUAGGGGGGGGAAGAGGGGGGAAUAUGGCACAAGGGGGGGAAGCCGGAGCCAGCAACGCCGGGGGCGGGAUGAGGGCCUUCGGGUUGUAAACCGCUUUCCCCUGUGACGAAGGGUGAGUGACGGUAAUGGGUAAAGAAGCACCGGCCAACUACGU
rnacentral:rRNA from 1 species